UAUUUGUGGUAGAUUGUCUGGGGUAAUCAAAGAAUUAGUAACGGUGAGCUCUGGUUUUGUUUCUUUCUUUAAAUUCCAAUUCUGUGGGUUACCAUUUUUAUCCUUCAUUCUAAUUUUGUCUCAAUUAUCCCCCCCUUCCACCUCCACCCGCAUUGUUCUUACACCACCUCCCACCCUCGCUUUGUUUGGAUUGGUGGGUGCCGUGGGAGAGGGCAGAUAAUCCCUGAUGUCGCUUGUAACUUCCAUUUUAUCCCGCCACACCCUAUUCUCUCUCUCUCUCUCUCUCUCUCUCUCUUUCUCCCUCUCUAGUCAAAUUGUUUUACCCCUCAUCUCCCCUCCCAUUGAUCAAAUUUCUAUCUCUAUUGACACUUUGUCUCAUAUUGAUGAGAUAAAUGGCAGCUGAUUUAUUGAUUGAUUGAUGAUGAUGAUGAUGGU
rnacentral:lncRNA from 1 species